rnacentral:lncRNA from 1 species
AUUUCUUGUGUGGAGAACGUUCGUUGUUAUACAUGACUUCAUUCUCGAGAGUACCGUGUGCAGGAGCAUCACGUUCAAUAAGUGUGUUCCCCGUCCGUUUCUCCCGGACAAAAAUGAAAUUCAUCCGGCAAGCAAUGCAAGGAAUGUCGCCGUGAAUCAGACGCGUUCGCACGCCCGCUAAAAUUGGAACUGGCUGGCGUCAUAAACGUAAAAAGCCGCGUGGAAACGCAGCUUUCUAUCGUGUCUUCGGUCUGAACGUCGAUUUUAGCCGUUUUCCGAACGAAAAGCAUCGGAGACGAUCGAGGACUUGUGUCUUUUUGGUUUACUCCAGAAUUCAUGCAGUCGGAUGAGUAACGAGCACAGAGCAAUUAAUACGAUCUGGGGAACGAAGAAAAGAUUUCUCGAAGCUCGUCGUGGCAUGGCAAAUUUUCUCUAGGUAUUUUAUUAGGUAACAGCAUUCAAUUAUAUACUAAUAUCUUUUCAGAUCCCAACAUUCUCAGAUUCCUAGAUCGAUACCUAGAUUUCUAAAUUUCUACAUUCCUAGAUUUCUACGUUCAUAGAUUUCUAGGUUCCUAUAUUCGUAGAUCACUAGAUUCCUUCAAUUUGUAGAUUUAACUUUGCAGAUUCCUAGAUUUAGGAAUUCCACGAUUUGGAGACUUGUCUAUUAAAGAAGAUUUGUGAUUUUAGGAAUUUAAUAUUUUGUUACUCAAGAAUUUGAAGACUCAGGACAAAAUAUAAAAAUCCUAAUCAGAAACAGGUCCGUCAUAAAAGUUAUUUGCCAAAAUCUCGCAGACUAUCCGGAUCAGUCGCCGUUUUUCCACGACCGGCAAUCUGAAGGGAGAGUGAAAAGUUAUUGCGACGGCGUAGGAUCGAGCCGAUCCUGAAUCACCGGCGAUGGAUGUGUAGGGUAAAAAAAGGUGAAAAGAAGGAACGAGACCAGGAGGAGACGGAGAGAGCCGUCCUUCCCGGGUGAUUCACCGGGUUUGCGGUUUGGUUACCUCAGUCUCUACCGACCAGACACGAGUACGGACAAGUGGUUCUCAUCGUCGAGGCGAAAUCUAGUGACCCUUUGCUAGUGAACAACUCGAAUUUCAUCGGAGACUGUGUUCAUUUUUAAAGGGUGUAAAAGGGUUUCAGAGAUACGUCUGAAACGUGGGGAAGAUGGAUCCAAGGGUAUUUCUAGGAGCGGUAACCCCUUUCGUAGGGUACAUGUACGCUAU